rnacentral:rRNA from 1 species
AGUACUUCGGUACUCUUGCCGGCGACCGGCGGACGGGUGCGUAACGCGUAUGCAACCUACCUUCAACAGGGGGAUAACAGUUAGAAAUGACUGCUAAUACCGCAUAAGCGCACGGCAUCGCAUGAUGCAGUGUGAAAAACUCCGGUGGUAUAAGAUGGACCCGCGUUGGAUUAGCUAGUUGGUGAGGUAACGGCCCACCAAGGCGACGAUCCAUAGCCGACCUGAGAGGGUGAUCGGCCACACUGGGACUGAGACACGGCCCAGACUCC